UACAGAGGUCCCAAGCGUUGUUCGGAUUCAUUGGGCGUAAAGGGUGCGUAGGUGGCGUCGUAAGUCGGGUGUGAAAUUUCGGAGCUCAACUCCGAAACUGCAUUCGAUACUGCGGUGCUUGAGGACUGGAGAGGAGACUGGAAUUUACGGUGUAGCAGUGAAAUGCGUAGAGAUCGUAAGGAAGGCCAGUGGCGAAGGCGGGUCUCUGGACAGUUCCUGACACUGAGGCACGAAGGCCAGGGGAGCAAACGGG
rnacentral:rRNA from 1 species